UUUCUGUGAUGAAACAACCUAGCUCACUAUGACUUACAAUGAAAACAUACGAACAUCUGAGAAAC
ensembl:snoRNA SNORD29 Small nucleolar RNA SNORD29